rnacentral:rRNA from 1 species
UACGGAGGGUGCAAGCGUUGCUCGGAAUUAUUGGGCGUAAAGCGCGCGUAGGCGGCUAUCCACGUCGGGUGUGAAAGCCCUCGGCUCAACCGAGGAAGUGCAUUCGAAACGAGGUAGCUAGAGUCCUGGAGAGGGUAGCGGAAUUCCCGGUGUAGAGGUGAAAUUCGUAGAUAUCGGGAGGAACACCAGCGGCGAAGGCGGCUACCUGGACAGUGACUGACGCUGAGGCGCGAAAGCGUGGGGAGCAAACAGG